rnacentral:rRNA from 1 species
GACGAACGCUGGCGGCGUGCCUAAUACAUGCAAGUCGAACGCAGUGGGGACAGGUGAGUAACACGUGGGUAACCUCCCAUCAGAGGGGAUAACACUUGGAAACAGGUGCUAAACCGAUAUUUACGGAUGGACCCGCGGUGCAUUCGCUAGGUGGUGAGGUAACGGCUCACCAAGGCCACGAUGCAUAGCCGACCGGAGAGGGUGAUCGGCCACACUGGGACUGAGACACGGCCCAGACUCCUACGGGAGGCAGCAGUAGGGAAUCUUCGGCAAGGGACGAAAGUCUGACCGAGCAACGCCGCGGGAGUGAAGAAGGUUUUCGGAUCGUAAACCCCUGUUGUUAGAGAAGCGGUAUCUAACCAGAAAGCCACGGCUAACUACGUGCCAGCAGCCGCGGUAAUUC